rnacentral:rRNA from 1 species
CCCUUAGACGCUCUAGGCGGCACGCGCGCUACAAUGGGUGGUAGAACGUGUAACUGCUCCCGAAAGGGAGGGUGAACCACGAAUACUUACCCGUGAAUGGGAUAGUUUGUUGCAAUUUUCGGACUUGAACUAGGAAUCCCUUGUAAGAAUGCUCAAGAAUAGCGUGCUGAAUACGUCCCUGCCGUUUGUACACACCGCCCGUCGUUUCUUCCGACUGAUACUCAUUGUGAGUUGCAAGGAUUCUUAUUGAAAAAUUGCUGCGAAUGCUUUGUAUUGGAGGAAGAAAAAGCCGUAACA